rnacentral:lncRNA from 1 species
AAAAAGUCUCAGAACAGCCAGUAAAUUCUGGGCCAGAUUUCAACUCAUGUUCCUGAGAUAAGGACCAGAGGGAGGAGGAAGAAAAAGACAGCAGCAAUCCUUUUAUCCUUCUGGCCACAUAUGAUCCGCAUCCCUGAGGACAGCUUUAUGGAGAGGGGCCCUCCAGCAAACCUCCCAACAAGCAGCCAGGCAAGAGCUUGAAUUACGAAAGCUGCUGAUAAGCACUGAGGAUCACCACGCCAAUCUGCACAUUGGAACAAGGAGGACUUGUCAUCCGUGACAUUAAAAAAUAAGAUGGGUCCAAACCAAAACCACA